rnacentral:rRNA from 1 species
UACGGAGGGAGCUAGCGUUGUUCGGAAUUACUGGGCGUAAAGCGCGCGUAGGCGGCUUUGUAAGUUAGAGGUGAAAGCCCGGGGCUCAACCCCGGAACUGCCUUUAAGACUGCAUCGCUUGAAUCCAGGAGAGGUGAGUGGAAUUCCGAGUGUAGAGGUGAAAUUCGUAGAUAUUCGGAAGAACACCAGUGGCGAAGGCGGCUCACUGGACUGGUAUUGACGCUGAUGUGGCGAAAGCG